AAUGUGAUUGCUGGAUCAUAUGGUUAGGGUAUGUUUAAUUUUGUAAGAAAGUGCCAAACUGUUUUCCAAAAUGGAUGUACCAUUUUGCAUUUCCACCAGCAAU
rnacentral:pre_miRNA from 1 species